rnacentral:lncRNA from 1 species
GUGAGUGCACACGGCGCGCCGCGGGGACCGGCUCCUGCGAGCUGGUCGCGGGACCCGGGCACUCGGAAGGGCGGCGGGGAGGGGCGAAGGAGGGAGAAAGGGAGAGAUGCCAAGACCUCCUCUGUGGCUCCUGGGUAGGUCCCGGGCGGGCGCAGCCGAGGGGAGGCGGCGCGACACGCCGGCCAAAUGCACUGCCGGGAAGGACCGAAUCCCCCGAGCCCGCGCCGCUCCUGCGCCCGCACUGUCCCCUCUUCGCAGGCCGGCGUGGAAGGCGGGUUUCCUGAGAGGUGUAUGUCCCAGAAUACACUCUGCCCUCCUGGGAGGAAAAGGCGACGCCUACGGCAGAGGGCCGUCCCGCAUCAGAGGUUCCAGGAGCGUCAAAGCCGGACUUCAGAUCUGAGCGGCGGCGGAGCCACGCUUGUGUGGUGUCCGCGCCCAUCUGGAGGCGGGUGGCGGGACCUCCUCGCCAGCGGUCCCCGCCCUGGGCCGAAGCCAGGCUUUGGCAGCAGCGGGUCACAAUCGGGGACAGGGGUGGCCGGAGGGGGCCCGAGCAUCAGGCUUCCUGGUCGCUAGAGGUAUUUUUAAUUCCGCAGAAGAGACUCAGGACUCCUAACUCCCAGCACUGGGUGCAGGCUCAGAAGGGGACUGUGUCAGACUUACUUUGCGGCGCGGCCCAGCCUUUUGCGCGCGCAAAGUCUCGGGACCGCCGGCGUGGUUAGAAACGCGGCCUGGGCCGGUUGGCGGAAGGGGGCGCAAUGCGCACGGCCGCUUGAGGAGCUCUGUAAGCAUGGAGGGCGGAGGGCUAGCUGAACACCGGCAGAUCCGAGCGCGGGAUGGGGCCUGAUGUCUACACCAUCAUUUUUGGAGAAGCUGUCAACUCUGACAAAUGAAGGAAAGCGGAAGGCAGCGAGCCGCACCUGCGAAAAGGCCUGGAAUUCCAGGGCCAACCCCGCCCAUCUGUUCUUUUCUAAGAGUACUUGGACCCUGCUUGAUUGUUUGAGAUCCAGCGAUUGGAUUUUCUGAAAGUAAAUCUCAGAAAUGGAAAUUCACGCUCAUUACCUUGCACAAACAUUUUUAAUUUCUGAGUGGCCUGCAUUGAGCCUAGAGGCAAGAAUCCUUCUUGCUGGAGCCAUAGUCGAGCCUGUAAAAGCCGAAAACCUUCCGCUGAGGUUAGAAAGGCAAUAAUUUAGACACACAGAGAAAAUUCCUAGCUGGAAGACAAGAGAAAACGCUCCAAGUGAAGUUAGAAAAUUUACCUUUGUAUAAAAAUCCUUUGAACAUUAUUGGACGAAAUAACACAUGUUGACAUGAAGAUUGAAGGUGGGAUCUCUCCUGUGCCGCAGACGGCACCAGAAACGGAAACACUAGCUCUUUUCUAACCGUGCUUCUCUCUCCACUGAACUGUUGGGUGGUGAAGUUAGUAUUUCAUUAGAUUUUUUUCCUUUUCUCUCUCUCUGCUGUACAUUCCAACCGGGAGCGUGAGGAUAGUAUGGUAGGUUGAAAAGUGGUCCCCCACAGAUGUGUCCACGUCCUAAACACCGGAACCUGCGAAUGUGAACUUGUUUGGAAAAAGGACUUUGCAGAUGUGAUUAAGGAGCUUGCGAUGAGGAGAUCAGCCUGGAUGAUCAAGUUAGGCCCUAAGUGCCAUCACAAGCAUCUUUAUAAGAGCAGCAGAGGGAGAUAAGGCAGGUGCACGCAGGAGAAGCCAGGGGAAGAUGGAGGCAGAGGUUAGAGUGAUGUGACCACAAGCCGAGGAAUGCCGAGGAGUGCCAGUAGCUGCCAGAAGCUACAAGAGUCAAGGAAGGAUCCUCCUGAGAGGCUGCGGAGGGAACGCAGCCCUGCCCAUACCUUGAUCUCAGACUUCCGGCCUCCAGAACUCUGAGAGAAUAAAUUUCCGUUGUGUUAAACCCUCCAGUUUUUGGUAAAUUUGUUACAGUAGCCUUUUUUGUUUUUCUUUUGUCCCUUCAUUUGCUUACAUAGUCUCUUCCAUCUUAUUCAAUUGCAUAUUCAACCUUGCUCCCUUUGGGUUCAAGAUUUCUCUCCUGUUUCUGCAUUUGAUUAGCCAUCAUAAGAGAAAUUCCCUUUAGUUUUCCAGCACAUGGAUAGAGAAUUGGGAAGUAGGAGAAAAAGAUUCUUUAGCAGACAAAAUAG